GGAAUAUUGCGCAAUGGGCGAAAGCCUGACGCAGCGACGCCGCGUGGGUGAUGAAGGCCUUCGGGUCGUAAAGCCCUGUCAGGAGGGACGAAACCUCGCCGGUCGAAUACGCCGGCGACCUGACGGUACCCCCAAAGGACGCACCGGCUAACUCCGUGCCAGCAGCCGCGGUAAUACGGAGGGUGCGAGCGUUGUUCGGAAUUACUGGGCGUAAAGCGCGUGUAGGCUGCCUCUUAAGUCUGGUGUGAAAGCCCGGGGCUCACCCCCGGAAGUGCACUGGAUACUGGGGGGCUAGAGUACCGGAGAGGAGGGUGGAAUUCCUGGUGUAGCGGUGAAAUGCGUAGAUAUCAGGAGGAACACCUGUGGCGAAGGCGGCCCUCUGGACGGAUACUGACGCUGAGACGCGAAAGCGUGGGGAGCAAAC
rnacentral:rRNA from 1 species